UAAGAAAAGUUGUAUGUAUUUUUUUUAUUUAGAAUGCAUAACAUGAUUUUUGUGAGUUCAGAUUCUGUUUUGGAUUUGAAUUAUUAUUUUUUAUCUUUGACAUUAAAGCAACACAUAUGUAUCUGUUUCACAUAAAUGUACAACAAAUUCACAUUAGUGUAAAUGUACUUUAAAAAAAUUAUAUCAUUUCCAUUGUUCAUAAAUCCAGUGGUUUCCAUUUGAGAGAGAAUAAUUUUUUUAAAACAUUGAUUUACAUGUAUAACACAGAGCAGGUUUGUAAAGGCAGUGCAUUUCUCUUUGUUUGUAAAGACCCAGCUGGGCUCUUGGAAGAAUCCAAUUACGGUAAUCAUAGACUUGUAAAUAUUCAAAAUUUUAGACUUGUAAAUAUGCAAAGCAUAUAUCCCAAUAAAGCGUAUUUACUCGUUUAAUAUUAGUCUAUUAAAAUCUGCACAGCAUAUUAUAGAGAGGUGGAUUUACAAAUCUAUGGUUAUAAUCUUGGAUUUGUAAAUCUGCAAAUCAUGUUUAAGAGGAGCAUAUUUACAAGUCUACCAUAAUCUUAAUGAAAUUGAUUCCUGGAACAGUGUGACUGUGGGCCUGCUUCAAUGAAGGCAGGGCAGGAAACCUGGCAAAAGGUAGGCCUUGCUGGAUCUCAGGUCCCAAGUCAGGCUGUUCAGGGUGUUGUCUGGUUUUGCCCAAACAAAGGUUCUGCAUUGUGGCAGUUGUUGAAUAAAGAAAUAAAGAUUUUAUAAAUAAUACAU
rnacentral:misc_RNA from 1 species